AGGACGAACGCUGGCGGCGUGCUUAACACAUGCAAGUCGAGCGGAAAGGCCCUUCGGGGUACUCGAGCGGCGAACGGGUGAGUAACACGUGAGUAAUCUGCCCCUAGCUCUGGGAUAGCUCCGGGAAACCGGGAUUAAUACCGGAUACGACCACCUUAGACAUCUUUUGUGGUGGAAAGAAUUUCGGCUAGGGAUGAGCUCGCGGCCUAUCAGCUUGUUGGUGGGGUAACGGCCUACCAAGGCGACGACGGGUAGCCGGCCUGAGAGGGCGACCGGCCACACUGGGACUGAGACACGGCCCAGACUCCUACGGGAGGCAGCAGUGGGGAUAUUGCGCAAUGGGCGAAAGCCUGACGCAGCGACGCCGCGUGGGGGAUGAAGGCCUUCGGGUUGUAAACCCCUUUCAGCAGGGACGAAGCGAAGUGACGGUACCUGCAGAGAAGCGCCGGCUAACUACGUGCCAGCAGCCGC
rnacentral:rRNA from 1 species